rnacentral:rRNA from 1 species
UACGUAGGGGGCUAGCGUUGUCCGGAAUCAUUGGGCGUAAAGAGCGCGUAGGCGGCCAGAUAAGUCCGGUGUGAAAGUCACAGGCUCAACCUGUGAAUGCCGCUGGAAACUGUCUGGCUAGAGUCCGGAAGGGGCGAGUGGAAUUCCCGGUGUAGCGGUGAAAUGCGCAGAUAUCGGGAGGAACACCGGUGGCGAAGGCGGUUCUCUGGGCCUUACCUGACGCUGAGGAGCGAAAGCGUGGGGAGCGAACAGG